rnacentral:rRNA from 1 species
GAUGAACGCUGGCGGCGUGCCUAAUACAUGCAAGUCGAGCGAACGGACGAGAAGCUUGCUUCUCUGAUGUUAGCGGCGGACGGGUGAGUAACACGUGGAUAACCUACCUAUAAGACUGGGAUAACUUCGGGAAACCGUAGCUAAUACCGGAUAAUAUUUUGAACCGCAUGGUUCAAAAGUGAAAGACGGUCUUGCUGUCACUUAUAGAUGGAUCCGCGCUGCAUUAGCUAGUUGGUAAGGUAACGGCUUACCAAGGCAACGAUGCAUAGCCGACCUGAGAGGGUGAUCGGCCACACUGGAACUGAGACACGGUCCAGACUCCUACGGGAGGCAGCAGUAGGGAAUCUUCCGCAAUGGGCGAAAGUCUGACGGAGCAACGCCGCGUGAGUGAUGAAGGUCUUCGGAUCGUAAAACUCUGUUAUUAGGGAAGAACAUAUGUGUAAGUAACUGUGCACAUCUUGACGGUACCUAAUCAGAAAGCCACGGCUAACUACGUG